UGGGGAAUUUUGGACAAUGGGCGAAAGCCUGAUCCAGCAAUGCCGCGUGUGUGAAGAAGGCCUUCGGGUUGUAAAGCACUUUUGUCCGGAAAGAAAUCCUUGGCUCUAAUACAGUCGGGGGAUGACGGUACCGGAAGAAUAAGCAUCGGCUAACUACGUGCCAGCAGCCGCGGUAAUACGUAGGGUGCAAGCGUUAAUCGGAAUUACUGGGCGUAAAGCGUGCGCAGGCGGUUUGCUAAGACCGAUGUGAAAUCCCCGGGCUCAACCUGGGAACUGCAUUGGUGACUGGCAGGCUAGAGUAUGGCAGAGGGGGGUAGAAUUCCACGUGUAGCAGUGAAAUGCGUAGAGAUGUGGAGGAAUACCGAUGGCGAAGGCAGCCCCCUGGGCCAAUACUGACGCUCAUGCACGAAAGCGUGGGGAGCAAACAGGAUUAGAUACCCUGGUAGUCCACGCCCUAAACGAUGUCAACUAGUUGUUGGGGAUUCAUUUCCUUAGUAACGUAGCUAACGCGUGAAGUUGACCGCCUGGGGAGUACGGUCGCAAGAUUAAAACUCAAAGGAAUUGACGGGGUCAUAGCUGUUUCCU
rnacentral:rRNA from 1 species